rnacentral:lncRNA from 1 species
AAGGAGCGACAACAGGGGAGCUGUACAGGGGAGCUGUGGUUCCCAGGCCUCAGAGGUGAAAGAGACAGUGGUUUGCAAAUGCAGCAACGGCAUCCCAUGAGUGCAGGGGAGUUUCUGCGCUCUGGGUGGAGCAGAACAGGAAAGUUCAUAAAUUCAGCACGUCAGAGCAGCCUGUCUCCCAUAUUUACUCUGCGACUCCGUGACAUCGCGAGCGCUCGCUACUUUACUUUGUCUUAAUGCUGGCAUGUUAACCUCUGAACGGUGACUUUCCAGCCACUAGCCUGGAGGCUGUAAGGUACUUCUGUGCCUAUUUUUAGCCUCUUUUCCUCGAAGAAAAGAGGCUAAUAACAAUGUCUCUUUCCGGGGAUCCUUCUCAAGCAUGCCCAGGAUCCAGGAGGCAACAGUAACAUCCCUAAGGAGCCAGUCUCAGAAGCAGGUGCGGGGCGCCCUCUCUCUGUUAUCAGAGAGAGUGCGGGAAAGCAGCUGAGCCACAGCGGGGCACUGGGCAGGAUCGCUACGAGGAAUUCACUAAGAUACAGGCUUGGUUCACGUACACAAGCUACUGAGGCAAACGCAGAUGUUUCCCCAAGCAUCUGGACCUUCUAAAAAUGAAGUGCCACCUCACCAGCAGCAAAGCAGCUUGAAGUUAAUGAUGAUUAACAAUGGGAAAGGUUUGGCCAACAUAUUUUCAGAAAGACAUGUCCUGUGACAAGUGUGCAAAUGACACCUAAGGCUCUGGUUUCGAUGAAAACUGGCCCCAUGUUCCUGGAGACUAUUAGCCCGCAUCCUACAGGAUAGUGUGCACCUAAAGUUCUCAAGAGCUUCCUCGUCCUUGGAAGCACCAAUAUACAGAGGGGUGGAUAUCCCAGAGAAAAUAAACAGAUGAAAGUCU